AGAGUUUGAUCCUGGCUCAGGAUGAACGCUGGCGGCGUGCUUAAUACAUGCAAGUCGAACGGAAGAUGUAGCAAUAUAUCUUUAGUGGCGAACGGGUGAGUAACGCGUUGGUGACCUGCCCCAAAGAGAGGGAUAACAGUUCGAAAGGACCGCUAAUACCGCAUGAGUUCACAGAGAUUGGAAGGUGUGAAGAAAGGCGAAAGCCGCUUUGGGAGGGGCCUGCGUCCCAUCAGCUAGUUGGUAGGGUAACGGCCUACCAAGGCGAUGACGGGUAGGGGACCUGAGAGGGUGGCCCCCCACAAUGGAACUGAAACACGGUCCAUACACCUACGGGUGGCAGCAGUAGGGAAUAUUGGUUAAUGGGCGAAAGCCUGAACCAGCAACGCCGCGUGUGCGAUGAAGGCCUUCGGGUUGUAAAGCACUUUUAGUAGGGACGAGGAAGGACGGUACCUACAGAAUAAGCCUCGGCUAACUACGUGCCAGCAGCCGCGGUAA
rnacentral:rRNA from 1 species